rnacentral:rRNA from 1 species
AGGACGAACGCUGGCGGCGUGCUUGAUACAUGCAAGUCAAGGAGAACAUUAUCUUCGGAUAAUAAGUAAACUGGCGAACGGGUGAGUAACGCGUAAACAACUUGCCUCAGAGAUUGGGACAACAUUGGGAAACCAGUGCUAAUACCAAAUAAUGCAGCGGGCUCUUCGGAGCACAGUUGUUAAAGUAGGCUUCGGCUUACACUUUGAGAUAGGUUUGCGUCCGAUUAGUUAGUUGGUAGGGUAAAAGCCUACCAAGACCAAGAUCGGUAGCUGGUCUGAGAGGAUGAUCAGCCACACUGGAAUUGAGAUACGGUCCAGACUCCUACGGGAGGCAGCAGUAAGGAAUUUUGCACAAUGGGCGAAAGCCUGAUGCAGCAACGCCGCGUGAACGAUGAAGUUUUUAGGAAUGUAAAGUUCUGUCGUAUGGGAAGAGAUCUUUCGAAUGUUAAUACCAUUCGUUAAUGACGGUACCAUUCAAGAAAGCACCGGCUAACUUCGUGCCAGCAGCCGCGGUAAUACGAGGGGUGCUAGCGUUGUCCGGAUUUACUGGGCGUAAAGGGUACGUAGGCGUUUUAAUAAGUUGAAUGUUAAAUAUCUUAGCUUAACUAAGAAAAUGCAUUCAAAACUGUUAAAAUAGAGUUUGAGAGAGGAACGCAGAAUUCAUGGUGGAGCGGUGACAUGCGUAGAUAUCAUGAGGAAAGUCAAAUGCGAAGGCAGCCUUCUGGCUCAAAACUGACGCUGAGGUACGAAAGCGUGGGGAGCGAACAGGAUUAGAUACCCUGGUAGUCCACGCCGUAAACGAUGAGUAUUUGGUGCUGGGGGAUUCGACCCUUUCAGUGCCGUAGCUAACGCGAUAAAUACUCCGCCUGGGGACUACGAUCGCAAGAUUGAAACUCAAAGGAAU